rnacentral:rRNA from 1 species
UAAUACGGAGGGUGCAAGCGUUAAUCGGAAUUACUGGGCGUAAAGCGCACGCAGGCGGUUUGUUAAGUCAGAUGUGAAAUCCCCGGGCUCAACCUGGGAACUGCAUUUGAAACUGGCAAGCUAGAGUCUCGUAGAGGGGGGUAGAAUUCCAGGUGUAGCGGUGAAAUGCGUAGAGAUCUGGAGGAAUACCGGUGGCGAAGGCGGCCCCCUGGACGAAGACUGACGUUCAGGUGCGAAAGCGUGGGGAGCAAACAGGAUUAGAUACCCUGGUAGUCCACGCUGUAAACGAUGUCGAUUUGGAGGUUGUGCCCUUGAGGCGUGGCUUCCGGAGCUAACGCGUUAAAUCGACCGCCUGGGGAGUACGGCCGCAAGGUUA